UACGUAGGGUGCAAGCGUUGUCCGGAAUUAUUGGGCGUAAAGAGCUCGUAGGCGGUCUGUCGCGUCUGCUGUGAAAACCUGCAGCUCAACUGCAGGCUUGCGGUCGAUACGGGCAGGCUGGAGUUCGGUAGGGGAGACUGGAAUUCCUGGUGUAGCGGUGAAAUGCGCAGAUAUCAGGAGGAACACCGGUGGCGAAGGCGGUUCUCUGGGAAUGUCCUGACGCUGAGGAGCGAAAGUGUGGGGAGCGAACAGG
rnacentral:rRNA from 1 species